rnacentral:piRNA from 1 species
UGACUCCUUGGUGUUAAGACUGAUG